UCGCUCACGUCCUGCCUCAGCUAGUCGCAACAAUCUUUCGCCUUUUACUAAAGAUUGCCGUGGGGAAAGACACCCCAAUGAGCCUGUAGGCCAAUUUUUGGGAGGCCUUGCCCGUUCGGGCGA
rnacentral:snRNA from 1 species